UUGGUUCAUAAUCGAGUAUGAUUAAAAGGGAAUAAGGUGAAAAUCCUUAACAGUCCCGCUGCUGUAAUCGGUAUUGUUGAAGAAGCGGAUACCACUGACAUUUAGGGUCGGGAAGGUGUUUCUUCGAAAGCCGAAAAGUCAGAAGACCUGCCAUUGCCUG
rnacentral:ncRNA from 1 species